rnacentral:misc_RNA from 1 species
AAAGUCGUAACAAGGUUUCCGUAGGUGAACCUGCGGAAGGAUCAUUAAUGAAUUUAUUGACAAGGCUGUUGCUGGUCUUUACAGGCAUGUGCACGCUUUGCUUCAAUUCAUCCAUUCUAUACCUCUGUGCACUCUUCAUAGGCUGGCUUAUUGGGGUUGUCACUGUAUGACCUUUGGCCUUUCUAUGCAUUUUAUUACAAACAUUUCAGGUUCAGAAUGUCUCUAUUGCGAAUGUAACGCAUAUAAAUAUAACUUUCAGCAACGGAUCUCUUGGCUCUC